rnacentral:rRNA from 1 species
GACGAACGCUGGCGGCGUGCCUAAUACAUGCAAGUUGAGCGCUGAAGGUUGGUACUUGUACCGACUGGAUGAGCAGCGAACGGGUGAGUAACGCGUGGGGAAUCUGCCUUUGAGCGGGGGACAACAUUUGGAAACGAAUGCUAAUACCGCAUAAAAACUUUAAACACAAGUUUUAAGUUUGAAAGAUGCAAUUGCAUCACUCAAAGAUGAUCCCGCGUUGUAUUAGCUAGUUGGUGAGGUAAAGGCUCACCAAGGCGAUGAUACAUAGCCGACCUGAGAGGGUGAUCGGCCACAGUGGGACUGAGACACGGCCCAAACUCCUACGGGAGGCAGCAGUAGGGAAUCUUCGGUAAUGGACGAAAGUCUGACCGAGCAACGCCGCGUGAGUGAAGAAGGUUUUCGGAUCGUAAAACUCUGUUGGUAGAGAAGAACGUUGGUGAGAGUGGAAAGCUCAUCAAGUGGCGGUAACUACCCAGAAAGGGACGGCUAACUACGUG